GACGAACGCUGGCCGGCGUGCUUAACACAUGCAAGUCGAACGAAGAGCGAUGGAAGCUUGCUUCUAUCAAUCUUAGUGGCGAACGGGUGAGUAACGCGUAAUCAACCUGCCCUUCAGAGGGGGACAACAGUUGGAAACGACUGCUAAUACCGCAUACGAUCUAAUCUCGGCAUCGAGGAUGGAUGAAAGGUGGCCUCUAUUUAUAAGCUAUCACUGAAGGAGGGGAUUGCGUCUGAUUAGCUAGUUGGAGGGGUAACGGCCCACCAAGGCGAUGAUCAGUAGCCGGUCUGAGAAGAUGAACGGCCACAUUGGGACUGAGACACGGCCCAGACUCCUACGGGAGGCAGCAGUGGGGAAUCUUCCGCAAUGGACGAAAGUCUGACGGAGCAACGCCGCGUGAGUGAUGACGGCCUUCGGGUUGUAAAGCUCUGUUAAUCGGGACGAAAGGCCUUCUUGCGAAUAGUUAGAAGGAUUGACGGUACCGGAAUAGAAAGCCCGGC
rnacentral:rRNA from 1 species